rnacentral:rRNA from 1 species
UACGUAGGGACCGAGCGUUGUCCGGAUUCAUUGGGCGUAAAGGGCUCGUAGGCGGCUGCUCAAGUCGAAUGUGAAAACUCGAGGCUCAACCUCGAGCCUGCAUUCGAUACUGGGCGGCUAGAGUCUGGUAGGGGGAUCUGGAAUUCCUGGUGUAGCGGUGGAAUGCGCAGAUAUCAGGAGGAACACCGGUGGCGAAGGCGGGAUCCUGGGCCAGUACUGACGCUGAGGAGCGAAAGCGUGGGGAGCGAACAGG